GUGAUGACCACACCGAUUCUGAUAUGUGAUAUGGCCGUCCCAGUCUGA
rnacentral:snoRNA from 1 species